ensembl:snRNA U6 U6 spliceosomal RNA
GUGCUCGCUUCAGCAGCACAUAUACUAAAAUUGGAACAAUACAGAGAAGAUUAGUAUGGUCCCUGUGCAAGGAUGACAUGCAAAUUCAUGAAGCAUUCCAUAUUUUU